UACAGAGGUCUCAAGCGUUGUUCGGAUUCAUUGGGCGUAAAGGGUGCGUAGGCGGCGCGGUAAGUCGGGUGUGAAAUCUCGGAGCUUAACUCCGAAACUGCAUUCGAUACUGCCGUGCUUGAGGACUGGAGAGGAGACUGGAAUUUACGGUGUAGCGGUGAAAUGCGUAGAUAUCGGAAGGAACACCUGUGGCGAAAGCGGCUCACUGGACCAUUACUGACGCUGAUGCACGAAAGCUAGGGGAGCAAACAGG
rnacentral:rRNA from 1 species